rnacentral:lncRNA from 1 species
CGGCGGCAAUCGGCAGGCAUAGGGCCGUCUUUGCGCCAACCUUUGAACCCACAGGCGGCGGGCGUAUGGUACCCGAAGGAUCAUCAGCGGCAGCGCCAGUGGCGCUCCGGCAUAGUGGAAGUCAUUAAGGUCGAGGGAGAGGAGGGAACGGCGAGAUCGCCGUCUACAUCAGCCAAGGGGAGGGCGAAAGCCACCGAAAACAAGAAUGGGCGGUUGAGAAAGCGGAAAAAGAAAGCG